rnacentral:lncRNA from 1 species
AUGUCCCAAACAGAACUCACUGAAAGUGUCUUCCUGUUUUCUGGCUUGCUGCUGCUGGGAAAUGGGAUCAGCACUGCCUGUACCUGGUGCUCUGGUUGUGAGGAGAGCUCUGACAAGGACCGGAAAAGCUUUCUAAGCUGGAGUUGCUCUGGCCCGGUGUUCCAUGGGUGGAUUCCCUUCCUGGGAAAGGAAUCAGAGGAUAUCAAGCAGAGACACCAGCUGCUAGAACAAGAGAAGGAACCCAGAGGCAAGUGGAAAUCCACUGUGCUGAGUGCUGUAAGGACAGCUAGAGACAGGCCCUGUCCCAGGCAGCAGAAGAAACAGCAGCAAGCUUCUAAAAGAUCCAGUACAACUUUACAGUGAAGUAAGGACACAACAGAUGACAACUCUCCACGAAGCAAGAAAUGUGAUAGCUCUAUUCACGUACUGCAGAUGCACUGAAAUGAAUCUAGGUUUAUUACUUAUUUAUAUAUCUGCAUGUGGGAUUGUUUUAUCUGUUUCUCAGAUUUUGGGUUGGGGUUCUUUUUUGUUUUGGUUUGGCUUUGUACACAGGUCACUAUUGCCUGAUAAGAACUCAAUAUUUGUAAAGUACUGAGUACAUCACUUGAUGUUUUGGAGUCCAGUGCUUAUUGCUUCUUGCCACACAGCUGUAGAAAUAAGGAGUAAAUUGAGUCAGUGAUGCUUUUGAAAUUAAAAUAGAAAAGAGGAUAACCUUGCAAAUAAAAUGGUAUGCAAAAGUGCA